GAUGAACGCUGGCGGCGUGCCUAAUACAUGCAAGUCGAGCGAACAGACGAGGUGCUUGCUCCUCUGACGUUAGCGGCGGGCGGGUGAGUAACACGUGGAUAACCUACCUAUAAGACUGGGAUAACUUCGGGAAACCGGAGCUCAUACCGGAUAUUAUAUUGAACCGCAUGGUUCAUUAGAGAAAGACGGUUUUGCUGUCACUUAUAGAGAGAUCCGCGCCGCAUUAGCUAGUUGGUAAGGUAACGGCUUACCAAGGCUACGAUGCGUAGCCGACCUGAGAGGAGGAUCGGCCACACUGGAACUGAGACACGGUCCAGACUCCUACGGGAGGCAGCAGUAGGGAAUCUUCCGCAAUGGGCGAAAGCCUGACGGAGCAACGCCGCGUGAGUGAUGAAGGUCUUCGGAUCGUAAAACUCUGUUAUUAGGGAAGAACAAAAGUGUAAGUAACUAUGCACGUCUUGACGGUACCUAAUCAGAAAGCCACGGCUAACUACGUG
rnacentral:rRNA from 1 species